ACCACUUAAUAUCAAAUUACAGUAUAAAUCAAAAACUAUCAAAAUAGAAAAUCCAAUAGAAAAAGCAUUAUAAACCGAUCAACCAAUACUUAAUACCACUAUAGCAGCACGUGGCUAAAAGAGAAUAUAAAAUUUAUGGUGCCUAAUAUCAGUCAAAAAUCUAAAAGAUUAGAUGAAACAUUGAAACAUAAUGAGGAUUUCAAUGAAAAAUAAAAAUUUGUGGGUAAAUGUAACAUUACUUUAGAUUCUCAUGUAGCAUUGACAAUGAUCUAGUGAUUUCCUAUGAUGAACUCUCAUAGCAAAUGUAACAAUCAUUAUUCUUCAAUAGGAUAGAUCAUUUGCUUAUAAUUCAAAAUAGCAAUGAAUAGCUCACCCAGUCACUUGCAUUCUAUGGCUUCUUAAUUUUUUAUAUCCACAAGCUGACCCACCAAUCUACCCAGAAACUGAUCUUUUUUAUCCAAAGUUCAAACCGUAAUUGAGGUGAAAUGAACAACCAUUGUAAUUGUUAAAAAAAUAAAUAAAUAAAAUAAAAAUAGCAAUACUAAAGGCUAGCCA
rnacentral:lncRNA from 1 species